rnacentral:rRNA from 1 species
GAUCAUGGCUCAGAUUGAACGCUGGCGGCAGGCCUAACACAUGCAAGUCGAACGGUAACAGGAAGAAGCUUGCUUUCUUUGCUGACGAGUGGCGGACGGGUGAGUAAUGUCUGGGAAACUGCCUGAUGGGAGGGGGAUAACUACUGGAAACGGUAGCUAAUACCGCAUAACGUCGCAAGACCAAAGGAGGGGGACCUUCGGGCCUCUUGCCAUCGGAUGUGCCCAGAUGGGAUUAGCUAGUAGGUAGGGGG